AUUGAACGCUGGCGGCAGGCCUAACACAUGCAAGUCGAGCGGAUGAAGGGAGCUUGCUCCUGGAUUCAGCGGCGGACGGGUGAGUAAUGCCUAGGAAUCUGCCUGGUAGUGGGGGCUAACGUCCGGAAACGGGCGCUAAUACCGCAUACGUCCUGAGGGAGAAAGUGGGGGAUCUUCGGACCUCACGCUAUCAGAUGAGCCUAGGUCGGAUUAGCUAGUUGGUGGGGUAAAGGCCUACCAAGGCGACGAUCCGUAACUGGUCUGAGAGGAUGAUCAGUCACACUGGAACUGAGACACGGUCCAGACUCCUACGGGAGGCAGCAGUAGGGAAUAUUGGACAAUGGGCGAAAGCCUGAUCCAGCCAUGCCGCGUGUGUGAAGAAGGUCUUCGGAUUGUAAAGCACUUUAAGUUGGGAGGAAGGGCAGUAAGUUAAUACCUUGCUGUUUUGACGUUACCAACAGAAUAAGCACCGGCUAACUUCGUG
rnacentral:rRNA from 1 species